UUUAAACGCAGUUAUUGAUUUUUAUGUUCAACGUUUUAUCGUCGCCUUAUUUAAUUUUUUUAAAUUAGUAUUUUUAUUAUUAUUAGAUGAUAAAACAUAAAUAAUAGCUUCAUACAUUAAUAUAUAUAUAUAUAUAUAUAAAUUUUUAAAUAAGACAAACGUUUAAACUUUGGACGUACGUGGAAUCUCGCGACUGCCUUAGCA
rnacentral:pre_miRNA from 1 species